AGAGUUUGAUCCUGGCUCAGGAUAAACGCUGGCGGCAUGCUUAACACAUGCAAGUCUAUUUGAAAGUAGCAAUACGAGUAGGAUGGCGAACGGGUGAGUAACACGUGAGUAACUUGCCCCUAAGGCUGGGAUAACUAUUCGAAAGGAUAGAUAAUACCGGAUAAGCUCACAAUACCGCAUGGUAAUGGGAGAAAAGCUAUAUGCACUUAGGGAGAGACUCGCGUCCCAUUAGCUAGUUGGUGAGGUAACGGCCCACCAAGGCGACGAUGGGUAGCCGGCCUGAGAGGGUGUACGGCCACAAGGGAACUGAGACACGGACCUUACUCCUAUGGGAGGCAGCAGUGGGGAAUAUUGUUCAAUGGACUAAAAGUCUGAAACAGCAAUGCCGCGUGUAUGAUGAAGGCUUUCGGGUCGUAAAGCUCUGUCGAGGGGAAAGAAGUGUACUUUGGCUAAUAUCCAUUGUACUUGACGGUACCCCUAAAGGAAGCACCGGCUAACUCCGUGCCAGCAGCCGCGGUAAUACGGGGGGUGCAAGCGUUGUUCGGAAUUAUUGGGCGUAAAGCGCGUGUAGGCGGUCUGAUUAGUCUGAUGUGAAAGCCCUGGGCUCAACCCAGGAAGUGCAUUGGAUACUGUCAGACUUGAAUACGGGAGAGGGUAGUGGAAUUCCUAGUGUAGGAGUGAAAUCCGUAGAUAUUAGGAGGAACACCGGUGGCGAAGGCGGCUACCUGGACCGAUAUUGACGCUGAGACGCGAAAGCGUGGGUAGCAAACAGGAUUAGAUACCCUGGUAGUCC
rnacentral:rRNA from 1 species